rnacentral:lncRNA from 1 species
CCUAAAAUCCACAUAUUUAAAAGUCUUAUAACUUUUUAUUUUUGUCCUCACUGGCCUCCAAGUUUUCUAGGAUGAUGCAAUGUCCAGCCAUCAACACAUUUGUGAAGGAAUUUUUACUCCCCAAAAGAGCGCCCCCCGAUGGCAGGAGAAAAAAGUCCAUUUUUUCUUGUCCCCUAAGGUGAAAAUACAUAUUGUUGAGAUUCACGCCUAUACGCUUUGUCAUAUUGACACAAAAUUUGACAAUCACGUGCCUUGCCUGGUAUCAUUUUUUUCAGCACAACCUCACCUGUGCGAAUUUACAGUUAUUUUAUCAUGUUGACAUACUGAAUUUACACAAUGGACCCAAAUUCACACACAAAACAUAAAAUCCGAGUGGAAAAAAGUAACAUUUUUACUGUGAAAACCACAAAUAUGUGUGAUGAACUGUUUUUAAAACUUAAACUUCAAAUAAAAAUUGUAAACUUCAAAACAUAUGCAAAUUUUUAACAAAGAACAUAGUGAUUUACCUCUAUUUACAUCAAAAUGCAGGCAAUGGCCCAGGCGUUCUUUGUAAAAUUAUUUACAAAACACUGUAUAGUCUCACAAAUGUCACUUUUUAUUUAUGCCACUACAAAAAAACAUGAUGUAAAUGAUGCAUGAUGUAAAACAUGAUGUAAAAAACUUGUGUAGAUCCUCCUCUAUGUCAGUCCAUGUGUAAUUUUUCCAUAAUUCUUUGUUUUUUGCAGCAUUUUUGUUAGUGUAACUGCAGAUUGUGCUGACAGUGUCUAUGGCACAAAAAAAAAAAAAUUAAAAUGCCUCAACAUGAACCCCUGGUGGUCUCUGAGGGUGAAACCUGCUAACUGCUGCAGCUCUGUCAGCUUCAGUCUCCCAUGCAGAGCUCUGAGCGCAUGUGUGGCUCUGCACCCUUAGCAGCGUUGCUAACUCCUCAGUAAGGAAAGCCUGCUUCAUGUCAGAGUCUCUAAACUCCAGAAGAAGUCGAUAAAAGUCCCUUUCUUUCUAAAAAAAAGUCGUUAGGGGGUCUGAAAAGUCAUUGAAUCUAACAACAAAGUCGCUAGGUUUGCAACUACGUGUCCCAGACUGCAUCCCUGCUGAGAGUCCCUCCCUCGCUUCUCAUGUUGCAGGAAGAACGUAAGCACCCGCCCCUUGUCAAUCAGUCACCAUAUAAUUUUGGAUUGGUUGUUGUGGUGAAGUUUUCCACCAAUAGGAGAGAUGUUGUGGUGUGUUUUUUUUUUCUUUUGGCAAGCCUUUUCCGCCUGUAAGACCUGUCGCUAAUGUCUGCAUGCUAUGUUUUCCUGUCUCAUACAGCGCGAUCGAGCGCCGAACGUGAUCAAAAUAAGCAGAAAAAAGUAUCGCGGACAUAAUUUAUCAUAACUCUGGUUUUAUUUGGCCUAUCAACACAAUUUAAAAACUGGUAUAUAGGUUGAGGUCCUCACUUUUGAGAUAAGUUGAAACGGAGAGUCAACGAGGCUCCGUCUUGCAGCUACAUCCGGUUAAAUAUGUCAUGUGACUUGAACGCACACACAGACACACACACACGCACACACACACACACACACACACACACACACACACACACACACACACACACACACUCAGAGUCUGGUUUUUAGCACCUGCAAAAACAUGCUAUUUACAUAUUUGACAAGAAUGCAGAGGCUCCUUUUGCCCCUGAAAAAAAUCAAAUUUCAAACACAACUUGACUGGUCAUUUCUCCAAAAGACAACCAUGAAGCUCCAUCCAAACCUGAAGCAGGCAGUUGGUGCAUGUGUACAGUAACCUGAGGGGAGUGAGGUGAGUGCUUCUGAGGAGAACAUGAGCAGUGAAGAUUCACCUUGGAGCUAGAACAGAGACAUGCACAUGAUUAUACAGGGGCAGGGGCUCAAGUUUUUUCCAGUCGUUUAUACAAUAUGGAAAUUAAUGUGAAAUUAAAACACAAAGUAUUAAUAGAAAGGUAAUGACUGUUCUGUGUAGGUGACAGUGAUAUCCAAUAGGCUAGGCACUCACGAGGCUGGCUGUGGCAAGUGUAAGUGAAAGCAACACGCACUGGCAGGAAGAACAGCAAACGCCGAUGAAGGAAAAGGGUCUUUGCAGUGAUGGGCGUUACCAGAGAGGGCGAUGGCCAGAGGACACAAAUGGGACGGGGAGGCAGCACGUUGGGGGGGGGACGCGACACGGCUCGGGCCCGCCAGUGCCCCAACGGGGUCCUAGUUAGGGCCCGAGCGUAGCUGCUAAGCAGCUGCGAGAGCCCUCUUGUUCCUGAUGGAUUCUUCUUUCGUUAUUUUUCCUCCGCUUUAAACUGGAAAAUGGCCCACUUCCCACUGGCGAAAACUCAGGAAAUUUGGCAGGACGACCGGGCCUGGUGAAAAAUUCGAUAUUCUGAAGUCGCCCAAACAAAAAAAUGAAAAAUGGCUCCAUAGCGCCCCCUAUGGUGAAAACUCACCUGACGCCUGUACGCUUUGUCAAAAUGACACAAAAAUUGACACACAUGUGUAUCUCAAUAAGAUCUACAAAAAAGUCAGUGCGGGCGUAUCUGUCAAAUGUACCGUUAAAGGGCUAUUUCGCAUUUUUUGCCGAUCCGCACACAUUGGAAUUUCGCUAACUCCUCCGAAGGCUUUCCUUCCACCGGCACCAAAUUUGCUCAGGCCAAUCUACACCCCAUGGCCAUUAAAAGUUGUACAAAUCAUGACGCUGCACCCCACGGUUUAGGUUCUAGGGGGCGCCAAAGAUAACCCAAAAAGCCACAUUCUUAAAAGUCUUAUAACUUUUUAUUUUUGUCCUCACUGGCCCCCAAGUUUUCUAGGAUGAUGCAAUGUCCAGCCAUCAACACAUUUGUGAAGAAAUUUUUACUCCCCAAAAGAGCGCCCCCCCAUGGCAGUAGAAAAAAGUCCAUUUUUUCUUGUCCCCUAAGGUGAAAAUACACAUUGUUGAGUGUCACGCCUAAACGCUUUGUCAUAUUGACACAAAAUUUGACAAUCACGUGUAUCUCAAUAAGAUCUACGAAAAAGUCAAAGAGCGCGUAUCUGUAUAAUGUACGGUAAAAGGGCUAUUUUGCAUUUUUUGCCGAUCCGCACACAUUGGAAUUUCACUAACUCCUCCGAAGGCUUUCAUUCCACCGACACCAAAUUUGCUCAGGCCAAUCUACACCCCAUGGCCAUUAAAAGUUGUACAAAUCAUGAUGCUGCACCCCACGGUUUACGUUCUAGGGGGCGCCAAAGAUGACCCAAAUAUCCACAUUCUUAAAAGUCUUAUAACUUUUUAUUUUUGUCCUCACUGGCCUCCAAGUUUUCUUGGACGAUGCAAUGUCCAGCCAUCAACACAUUUGUGAAGGAAUUUUUACUCCCCAAAAGAGCGCCCCCCCAUGGCAGGAGAAAAAAGUCCAUUUUUUCUUGUCCCCUAAGGUGAAAAUACGCACUGUUGAGUGUCACGCCUGUACGCUUUGUCAAAAUGACACAAAAAUUGACACACACAUGUAUCUCAAUAAGAUCUACGAAAAAGUCAAUGCACGCGUAUCUGUCAAAUGUACGGUUAAAGGGUUAUUCCGCAUUUUUUGCUGAUCCGCACACAUUGGAAUGUGGCUAACUCCUCUGAAGGCUUUCGUUCCAUCGGCACCAAAUUUGCUCAGGCCAAUCUACACCCCAUGGCCAUUAAAAGUUAUUCAAAUCAUGACGCUGCACCCCACGGUUUACGUUCUAGGGGGCGCCAAAGAUGACACAAAUAUCCACAUAUUUAAAAGUCUUAUAACUUUUUAUUUUCGUCCUCACUGGCCUCCAAGUUUUCUAGGAUGAUGCAAUGUCCAAAUAUCCACAUUCUUAAAAGAAUCUACAUCCCCCCCCCCCCCCAUCCCCCAAGUUUUUCCUGCCCAUCACUCAAUGGCUCAAUCGCAUCGCUCUCCCGGCAACACCGUAAUGAGGAGCAACUUGCCGUUUGGAUAUAUCCUAGCUGUGUUUGUGCCCUCACUCAUGGUCCAGACUUUUUUCAAAUAGGACAUGUAGUUUGUCUGCAGCGAGUGUUUUGGUAGAAACUGCGCCUCCCAUUCAUUAUAAUGGGAAAUGACCACAGACAAGUGCGCACACCAUCUUUGGACCUUGAGUGUGACGCGAUCGGGAGGGGGAGGCGGUCGCGCUGGGGGCGGCUCGACGCGGCUCGGGCCCGACAGUGCCCCACCGGGGCCCUAGUUAUUAUUUUUCCUCCGCUUUAAACUGGAAAAUGGCCCACUUCCCACUGGCGAAAACUCAGGAAAUUUGGCAGGACGACCGGGCCUGGUGAAAAAUUCGAUAUUCUGAAGUCGCCCAAACAAUAAAAUGCAAAAUGGCUCCAUAGCGCCCCCUAAGGUGAAAAUUCACAUGACGGCUGUACGCUUUGUCAUAUUGACACAAAAAUUGACACACACAUGUAUCUCAAUAAGAUCUACAAAAAAGUCAGUGCGGGCGUAUCUGUCAAAUGUACGGUUAAUGGGUUAUUUUGCAUUUUUUGCAGAUCUGCACACAUUGGAAUUUCGCUAACUCCUCCGAAGGCUUUCGUUCGACCGGCACCACAUUUGCGCAGGCCAAUCUACCCCCCAUGGCCAUUAAAAGUUGUACAAAUCAUGACGCUGCACCCCACGGUUUACGUUCUAGGGGGCGCCAAAGAUAACCCAAAAUCCACAUUCUUAAAAGUCUUAUAACUUUUUAUUUUUGUCCUCACUGCCCUCCAAGUUUUCUAGGAUGAUGCAAUGUCCAGCCAUCAACACAUUUGUGAAGGAAUUUUUACUCCCCAAAAGAGCGCCCCCCAAUGGCAGGAGAAAAAGGUCCAUUUUUUCUUGUCUCCAAAGGUCAAAAUACACAUUGUCGAGUGUCACGCCUGUAUGCUUUGUCAUAUUGACACAAAAUUUGACACACACAUGUAUCUCAAUAAGAUCUACGAAAAAGUCAGUGCGGGCGUAUCUGUCAAAUGUACCGUUAAAGGGUUAUUUCGCAUUUUUUGCCGAUCCGCACACAUUGGAAUUUCGCUAACUCCUCCGAAGGCUUUCGUUCCAACGGCACCACAUUUGCUCAGGCCAAUCUACACCCCAUGGCCAUUAAAAGUUGUACAAAUCAUGACGCUGCACCCCACGGUUUACGUUCUAGGGGGCGCCAAAGAUAACCCAAAAAUCCACAGUCUUAAAAGUCUUAUAACUUUUUAUUUUUGUCCUCACUGGCCUCCAAGUUCUCUAGGAUGAUGCAAUGUCCAGCCAUCAACACAUUUGUGAAGGAAUUUUUACUCCCCAAAAGAGCGCCCCCCAAUGGCAGGAGAAAAAAGUCCAUUUUUUCUUGUCUCCUAAGGCGAAAAUACACAUUGUUGACUGUCACGCCUUUACGCUUUGUCAAAAUGACACAAAAAUUGACACACACAUGUAUCUCAAUACGAUCUAUGAAAAAGUCAAUGCGAGCGUAUCUGUUCAAUGUACGGUUAAAGGGCUAUUUCGCAUUUUUUGCCGAUUCGCACACAUUGGAAUGUGGCUAACUCCUCCUAAGGCUUUCAUCCCACUGACACCAAAUUUGCUCAGGUCAAUCUACACCCCAUGGCCAUUCAAAGUUGUACAAAUCAUGACGCUGCACCCCACGGUUUAUGUUCUAGGGGGCGCCAAAGAGGCCCCAAAUAUCCACAUUUUUAGAAGUCUUAUAACUUUUUAUUUUUGUCCUCACUGGCCUCCAAGUUUUCUAGGAUGAUGCAAUGUCCAGCCAUCAACACAUUUGUGAGGGAAUUUUUACUCCCCAAAAGAGCGCCCCCCCAUGGCAGGAGAAAAAGUCAAGUUUUUCCUGCCCAUCGCUCAAUGGCUCAAAUGCAUCGCUCUCUCGGCAAAACGGAAAGGAGGAGCAACUUGCCAUUUGGAUAUAUAUUAGCUGUGUUUGUGCCCUCACUCAUGGUCCAGACUUUUUUCAAAAAUGACAUGGAGUUUGUCUGCAGCGAGCGUUUUGGUAGAAACUGCGCCUCCCAUUCAUUAUAAUGGUAAAUGACCACAGACAAGUGCGCACACCAUCUUUGGACCUUGAGUGUGACGCGAUCGGGAGGGGUAGGCGGUCGCGCUGGGGGCGGCGCGACACGGCUCGGGCCCGCCAGUGCCCCAACGGGGCCCUAGUUUAGCAUUUUUUGCCGAUUCGCACACAUUGGAAUGUGGCUAACUCCUCCUAAAGCUUUUGUCCCAUCGGCUUCAAAUUUGCUCAGGUCAAUCUACACCCCAUGGCCAUUCAAAGUUGUACAAAUCAUGACGCUGCACCCCACGGUUUACGUUCUAGGGGGCGCCAAAGAGGACCCAAAUAUCCACAUUUUUAAAAGUCUUAUAACUUUUUAUUUUUGUCCUCACUGGCCUCCAAGUUUUCUAGGAUGAUGCAAUGUCCAGCCAUCAACACAUUUGUGAAGGAAUUUUUUCUCCCCAAAAGAGCGCCCCCCCAUGGCAGGAGAAAAAGUCAAGUUUUUCCUGCCCAUCGCUCAAUGGCUCAAACGCAUCGCUCUCUCGGCAAAACCGAAAGGAGGAGCAACUUGCCAUUUGGAUAUAUACUAGUUGUGUUUAUGCCCUCACUCAUGGUCCAGACUUUUUUCAAAAAGGACAUGGAGUUUGUCUGCAGCGAGCAUUUUGGUAGAAAAGGCGCCUCCCAUUCAUUAUAAUGGUAAAUGACCACAGACAAGUGCGCACACCAUCUUUGGACCUUGAGUGUGACGCGAUCGGGAGGGGUAGGCGGUCGCGCUGGGGGCGGCGCAACACGGCUCGGGCUUGCCAGUGCCCCAACGGGGCCCUAGUUAUUAUUAUUAUUAGGGCCCGAGCCAGCUGCAGAGCAGCCGGGCGUAGGCCCUAUUAUUCCCCAAGUGGUUUUUCUUUGUUUCUUUCUUUAGGGCCCGAGCGUAGCUGCUAAGCAGCUGCGAGAGCCCUAUUAUUCCCCAAGUGGUUUUUCUUUGUUUCUUUCUUUCUUUCUUUCUUUCUUUCUUCUUUUUCCUCCCCUUUGAACUGGAAAAUGGCCCACUUCCCACUGGCGAAAACUCAUGAAAUUUGGCAGGACGACCGGGCCUGGUGAAAAAUUCGAUAUUCUGAAGUCGCCCAAACAAUAAAAUGCAAAAUGGCUCCAUAGCGCCCCCUAAGGUGGAAAUUCACACUAUUGACUGUCACGCCUGUACGCUUUGACAUAUUGACACAAAAAUUGACACACAUAUGUAUCUCAAUAAGAUCUACAAAAAAGUCAGUGCGGCCGUAUCUGUCAAAAUUACGGUUAAAGGGUUAUUUCGCAUUUUUUGCCGAUCCGCACACAUUGGAAUUUCGCUAACUCCUCCGAAGGCUUUCGUUCCACCGGCACCACAUUUGCUCAGGCCAAUCUACACCCCGUGGCCAUUAAAAGUUAUCAAAAUCAUGACGCUGCACCCCAAGGUUUAGGUUCUAGGGGGCGCCAAAGAUAACACUAAAAUCCACAUAUUUAAAAGUCUUAUAACUUUUUAUUUUUGUCCUCACUGGCCUCCAAGUUUUCUAGGAUGAUGCAAUGUCCAGCCAUCAACACAUUUGUGAAGGAAUUUUUACUCCCCAAAAGAGCGCCCCCCCAUGGCAGGAGAAAAAAGUCAAUUUUUUCUUGUCCCCUAAGGUGAAAAUACACAUUGUUGAGUGUUACGCCUGUACGCUUUGGCAAAAUGACACAAAAAUUGACACACACAUGUAACUCAAUAAGAUCUACGAAAAAGUUAAUGCGCGCGUGUCUGUCAAAUGUACGGUUAAAGGGUUAUUCCGCAUUUUUUGCCGAUUCGCACACAUUGGAAUUUCGCUAACUCCUCCGAAGGCUUUCGUUCCACCGGCACCACAUUUGCUCAGGCCAAAUUACACCCCAUGGCCAUUAAAAGUUAUUCAAAUCAUGACGCUGCACCCCACGGUUUAGGUUCUAGGGGGCGCCAAAGAUAACCCUAAGAUCCACAUAUUUAAAAGUCUUAUAACUUUUUAUUUUUGUCCUCACUGGCCUCCAAGUUUUCUAGGAUGAUGCAAUGUCCAGCCAUCAACACAUUUGUGAAGGAAUUUUUACUCCCUAAAAGAGCGCCCCCCCAUGGCAGGAGAAAAAAGUCCAUUUUUCUUGUCCCCUAAGGUGAAAAUACACAUUGUUGACUGUCACGCCUGUACGCUUUGGCAAAAUGACACAAAAAUUGACAAUCAUGUGUAUCUCAAUUAGAUCUACGAAAAAGUCAAAGAGCGCGUAUCUGUAUAAUGUACGGUAAAAGGGCUAUUUUGCAUUUUUUUCCAAUUCGCACACAUUGGAAUUUCGCUAACUCCUCCUAAGGCUUUCGUCCCACUGACACCAAAUUUGCUCAGGCCAAUCUACACUCCAUGGCCAUUCAAAGUUGUAAAAAUCAUGACGCUGCACCCCACGGUUUACGUUUUAGGGGGCGCCAAAGAUGACCCAAAUAUACAUUACAGUAGACAAAGUAGUUUUGCCCACUGAGUGGCGCCAAAGGGACUUGUCUGUGGAGUCUGUGAGUCACUAUUGGCCGUUUUUGACUACUUUAGAUUUUACCUUUAUAUUUCCUCUGACAAAAUUUUUACCUUGCCUUGCCUGGUAUCAUUUUUUUCAGCACAACCUCACCUGUGUCAAUUUACAGUUAUUUUAUCAUUUUGACAUACUAUAUUUACACAUUGGACCCAAAUUCACACACAAAACAUAAAAUCCGAGUGGAAAAAAGUAACGUUUUUACUGUGAAAACCACAAAUAUGUGUGAUGAACUGUUUUUAAAACUUAAACUUCAAAUAAAAAUUGUAAACUUCAAAACAUAUGCAAAUUUUUAACAAAGAACAUAGUAAUUUACCUCUAUUGACAUCAAAAUGCAGGCAAUGGCCCAGGUUUUCUUUGUAAAAUUAUUUACAAAACACUGUAUAGUCUCACAAAUGUCACUUUUUAUUUAUGCCACUACAAAAAAACAUGAUGUAAAUGAUGCAUGAUGUAAAACAUGAUGUAAAAAACUUGUGUAGAUCCUCCUCUAUGUUAGUCCAUGUGUAAUUUUUCCAUAAUUCUUUGUUUUUUGCAGCAUUUUUGUUAGUGUAACUGCAGAUUGUGCUGACAGUGUCUAUGGCAAAAAAAAAAAAAAAAAAAAACUGAAAAUGCCUCAACAUGAACCCCUGGUGGUCUCUGAGGGUGAAACCUGCUAACUGCUGCAGCUCUGUCAGCUUCAGUCUCCCAUGCAGAGCUCGGAGCGCAUGUGUGGCUCUGCACCCUUAGCAGUGUUGCUAACUCCUCAGUAAGGAAAGCCUGCUUCAUGUCAGAGUCUCUAAACUCCAGAAGAAGUCGAUAAAAGUCACUUUCUUUCUAAAAAAAAGUCGUUAGGGGGUCUGAAAAGUCAUUGAAUCUAACAACAAAGUCGCUAGGUUUGCAACUACGUGUCCCAGACUGCAUCCCUGCUGAGAGUCCCUCCCUCCCUUCUCAUAUUGCAGGAAGAACGUAAGUUCCCGCCCCUUGUCAAUCAGUCACCAUAUAAUUUUGGAUUGGUUGUUGUGGUGAAGUUUUCCACCAAUAGGAGAGAUGUUGUGGUGUGUUUUUUUUUCCUUUGGCAAGCCUUUUCCGCCUGUAAGACCUGUCGCUAAUGUCUGCAUGCUAUGUUUUCCUGUCUCAUACAGCGCGAUCGAGCGCCGAACGUGAUCAAAAUAAGCAGAAAAAAAGUAUCGCGGACAUAAUUUAUCAUAACUCUGGUUUUAUUUGGCCUAUCAACACAAUUUAAAAACUGGUAUAUAGGUUGAGGUCCUCACUUUUGAGAUAAGUUGAAACGGAGAGUCAACGAGGCUCCGUCUUGCAGCUACAUCCGGUUAAAUAUGUCAUGUGACUUGAACGCACACACAGACACACACACACGCACACUCAGAGUCUGGUUUUUAGCACCUGCAAAAACAUGCUAUUUACAUAUUUGACAAGAAUGCAGAGGCUCCUUUUGCCCCUGAAAAAAAUCAAAUUUCAAACACAACUUGACUGGUCAUUUCUCCAAAAGACAACCAUGAAGCUCCAUCCAAACCUGAAGCAGGCAGUUGGUGCAUGUGUACAGUAACCUGAGGGGAGUGAGGUGAGUGCUUCUGAGGAGAACAUGAGCAGUGAAGAUUCACCUUGGAGCUAGAACAGAGACAUGCACAUGAUUAUACAGGGGCAGGGGCUCAAGUUUUUUCCAGUCGUUUAUACAAUAUGGAAAUUAAUGUGAAAUUAAAACACAAAGUAUUAAUAGAAAGGUAAUGACUGUCCUGUGUAGGUGACAGUGAUAUCCAAUAGGCUAGGCACUCACGAGGCUGGCUGUGGCAAGUGUAAGUGAAAGCAACACGCACUGGCAGGAAGAACAGCAAACGCCGAUGAAGGAAAAGAGUCUUUGCAGUGAUGGGCGUUACCAGAGAGGGCGAUGGCCAGAGGACACAAAUGGGACGGGGAGGCAGCACGUUGGGGGGGGGGACGCGACACGGCUCGGGCCCGCCAGUGCCCCAACGGGGUCCUAGUUCUUUCUUUCUUCUUUUUCCUCCCCUUUGAACUGGAAAAUGGCCCACUUCCCACUGGCGAAAACUCAUGAAAUUUGGCAGGACGACCGGGCCUGGUGAAAAAUUCGAUAUUCUGAAGUCGCCCAAACAAUAAAAUGCAAAAUGGCUCCAUAGCGCCCCCUAAGGUGGAAAUUCACACUAUUGACUGUCACGCCUGUACGCUUUGUCAUAUUGACACAAAAAUUGACACACAUAUGUAUCUCAAUAAGAUCUACAAAAAAGUCAGUGCGGGCGUAUCUGUCAAAUGUACGGUUAAAGGGUUAUUUCGCAUUUUUUGCCGAUCCGCACACAUUGGAAUUUCGCUAACUCCUCCGAAGGCUUUCGUUCCACCGGCACCACAUUUGCUCAGGCCAAUCUACACCCCGUGGCCAUUAAAAGUUAUCAAAAUCAUGACGCUGCACCCCAAGGUUUAGGUUCUAGGGGGCGCCAAAGAUAACACUAAAAUCCACAUAUUUAAAAGUCUUAUAACUUUUUAUUUUUGUCCUCACUGGCCUCCAAGUUUUCUAGGAUGAUGCAAUGUCCAGCCAUCAACACAUUUGUGAAGGAAUUUUUACUCCCCAAAAGAGCGCCCCCCCAUGGCAGGAGAAAAAAGUCCAUUUUUUCUUGUCCCCUAAGGUGAAAAUACACAUUGUUGAGUGUCACGCCUAUACGCUUUGUCAAAAUGACACAAAAAUUGACACACACAUGUAACUCAAUAAGAUCUACAAAAAAG